rnacentral:rRNA from 1 species
UACGGAGGGUGCAAUCGUUGUUCGGAUUUACUGGGCGUAAAGCGCGUGUAGGCGGUUUGAUAAGUCGAAUGUGAAAGCCCGAGGCUCAAACUCGGAAGUGCAUUCGAAACUGUCAGGCUUGAGUACGGGAGAGGGAAGUGGAAUUCCUGGUGUAGAGGUGAAAUUCGUAGAUAUCAGGAGGAACACCGGUGGCGAAGGCGGCUUCCUGGACCGAUACUGACGCUGAGACGCGAAAGCGUGGGGAGCAAACAGG